UACGAAGGGGGCUAGCGUUGCUCGGAAUCACUGGGCGAAAAGGGUGCGUAGGCGGGUCUUUAAGUCAGGGGUGAAAUCCUGGAGCUCAACUCCAGAACUGCCUUUGAUACUGAGGAUCUUGAGUUCGGGAGAGGUGAGUGGAACUGCGAGUGUAGAGGUGAAAUUCGUAGAUAUUCGCAAGAACACCAGUGGCGAAGGCGGCUCACUGGCCCGAUACUGACGCUGAGGCACGAAAGCGUGGGGAGCAAACAGG
rnacentral:rRNA from 1 species